rnacentral:rRNA from 1 species
UACGUAGGGGGCUAGCGUUGUCCGGAAUCAUUGGGCGUAAAGCGCGUGUAGGCGGUCCGGUAAGUCCGCUGUGAAAGUCGGGGGCUCAACCCUCGGAUGCCGGUGGAUACUGUCGGGCUCGAGUACGGAAGAGGCGAGUGGAAUUCCUGGUGUAGCGGUGAAAUGCGCAGAUAUCAGGAGGAACACCAAUGGCGAAGGCAGCUCACUGGGACGGUAUUGACGCUGAGACGCGAAAGCGUGGGGAGCAAACAGG